rnacentral:rRNA from 1 species
CCCUUAGAUGUUCUGGGCCGCACACGCGCUACACUGAAGGAGGCAGCGUGUACUCCUGGAUCGAAAGAUUUGGGUAACCCGCGAAUCUCCUUCGUGCUAGGGAUUGAGGUUUGCAAUUAUCCUUCAUGAACGAGGAAUUCCCAGUAAGUGCAAGUCAUAAGCUUGCGCUGACUACGUCCCUGCCCUUUGUACACACCGCCCGUUGCUACUACCGAUUGAAUGAUUUAGUGAGGACUUCGGACUGGGACCGAUGCGGCUUUCGGGCUGCGUCGGUAUUCUGGAAAGAUGUCCAAACUGUAUCAUUUAGAGGAAGUAAAAGUCGUANCA